GUCCUCUCCUUUCUCCCAAAUCCCCUCUCCUUCUCCACCCAGGCAUCCUCCUCCCACCCUCUUGCUCGGCCGGCCGCCCCCGCCUUCUCCACCCAGCCGAUUGCGGCUCCACCGGCCGGAGGCCACGGCGGCCGGAUGACACCGAGAUCGACGAGGAAUGGGGAGGCGGCGCGCAAGCUCGAGGUGGAAGGAGACCAUGGUGGCUAGGGUUUCUCGAUGCGCAUGGGGAGGGCGCCGCCAGGCCAUUGACGAGCACUCUCGCGCUCCCAUCACCAUCCGCCAGCGUGUCUCCGGCGAGAGGAGGAGGCCACUGUUGACGAGCACGAUGAGGAUGAGGUCGCGCGGGGGAAGACAUAGUCGGGCUUGCAUGAGGUGCUUGGCCUCCACUGAUGCGUCCUCAACUGCGUGGUGAGAAGUGGCUGCGGCAUCUGGCCGUCGGUGCGGCUCCGGUCGUGUUUAGUUAAGUCCAGAUUGAAGUGGGUCUGCCUUUUUAUUCUCCUUUUCCCCAUCUUUGACUCCUCUUUCUUUCCUGAUGUGCAGCGACCAACACCAAGAGGAAAGCGACAAAUCAACUAGAGAAUUAGCCUGGACAAGUAUAUGAGUGAGAAAAGUUACAAGAAAAGGAUUUCUAGGAGCGUGUCGACCAUAACCAAAAGGAUGACCAUGACCAACAAAGAUGAUUUUGCUACAGACUGCAUGUUUGAUGAGGGAGAUGGACCGGGGAAGAAGGCGUUGGGGCUGUGGUGGGCGGCUAGCGGCGAGGACGGUGUCGACCGGCAAGCUGCAAGGCAGCGGAGGAGGUACAGAAGAAGAAAUGGCGGCUUCCAGAGCACUGAUUCGUUCUCUCUCUCUCUCUCUCCCUCUCUCUCUGUUGUGCAAGGGCUUGAAAAAAAGGAAUGGUACAUCGAUGACUUGCAUAUGAGUUUCCAUCGGGGCAGAGUUAAGAGCGGAGGCAGACUCUUCAUGUUUGAUUUAGCUCCCAAAACAUCUCAUAUAGUGUGUGCAAGAUCCAUUUUAUCCUUUGCAUACAACGUGUUUGAUUAAAAUCCUACAUAAGAGUAAUGGAUGUAAUAUCUAUAUUCCAUCUAGCUGAAGCUGCAGCAGAUGUAUAAGAGAUAGUAGGUCGCUAGCUAAUUUGACUAAGCAACAGAUCAAGUUUCUGUUCCUAUCCUUCCUGAAUGCGCUGGCGAAAUAGAACAAUGGGGAAAUCGUUACUAUAGCUUAGAGCUGAGAUCCGUGCAGUGGCAGGACCUAGAUGCAACGCUUGACUAUACACUUUUUGUUCCUUUUUAGAUGUGCAUCUCUGCCUGCUAUGUGAUAUCCCAUUCGCGCUAGCAUUUGUAGUGUCUCCAUGAUGUACUCAUCUCCCAAUUUUGUUACUGCUGCAAAGACACCAUCUUGCUUGCUUAGCGCAGACCAGUGGAAGAUUUAAUUGGGUCGGCGCCUUGCUGGAAUUGCCGUGUCAGUUGGCCAUGGCUGCUCUCGUUGGUCUGCUGCCUGGUUGCGUUCUUGAUAAACGCCCUGGCGUUCAUGUUCGAUGGCAUCAACUUCUGAGCAUCCGACUACAUGUACUAUGCUUACUCCAUGGUUGGGGUGGUGUCCAUAUCCAUACACGAUGAGGAUAAUGUGGCACGGGGGAAGACAGAUCUGGCAGCAAAGAGAGCCACCAUGGGCGAGGACAUGAAGCCCUUUGAUGAUCAAGUUGGCUAUAUUCUAGGAGUCUGGAUUGAUUAUACAUUUGAUUUCUCCUAGAAGGCUCCGCCAACGCGUCUCCAACGAGCGUGAGAGGAGGCCGCUGCUUCCGUGCACACGGUGCGGAUUGUGGUGGAGGGAAAAACCAGUUUUAAUAAUAUACCUGGUUCGGUGUAUUACCCUGGUGGUGACACUGCCAAGGACUUGUGACUUCAGCUUGUUGCAAAUGGCUUUGCCAAAUAUGCUCGAGUGGAGUGUAAAAAAGGAAUGGCUGCGGACUGGAUUUAAGCUGCCAGUAACUAACUCAAAGUCAAUACGUGACCAGAAAUUCAGUAGAAAAGGUUGUUGUUACCGAAGUUCAUGAUGGUUGAAAGUUUUAUGCCCAGACAAUAGGUGACUAGAGAGUUUCAUCCAUUCAACAGCACUUGCAUCAUUGAUACUUAAAGAGGCACUGGUCAAUGGUGCUUUUAAUUAAUCCUGUGAAGGGAGAUAGUCCUUGCUCAGUUUAGCCUUGAGAACUCCUGGAAUAGAGCAAUGCUUGGUCAGCCUGUUUUUGAUGAUCCAAGCCUUCCGCAUGCCCCAUCUACUACGUAUUAUUUUGGAGAUUAUUUGAUGUCCCAUCUACUACACCAGGCACAGGCUGCUGGGGCAGAAACCUCAGGCUGAUGGACCCCCUAAGAAGAAGAAGGGAGUACUUCGACAUUCGUCCAACAGAUUAUAAGGAUCUUACACCAAAGCGUACAUAUAAAUCUACCAGGAAUUGCAUCACCAAAGAGUAUCUUUUAUUAAUUCGCAUGUGCAUUACACAAUUUUCCUACGGUUUACUCCUCAGAGUUGUGUCAAGGGGUGACCUCCAGGAGACUAAUACCUUUCACGUUUCUCAGGACUUGCUUUGUGUGUGGGCAGGAAAAGUUUCUGCUCUUUCAUGGAAUGUGCACUGUUGUUCCAAGUGUGCGCUUUUGUACAGAUGCAAGCUCAAGGUUGAUAUAUAAUCUCUAUGUGAUAUGCAUUGGUCUACUAAAUUGAGCCUGUAAUAGAUUCUUCGGCUAUCAAUAUGCGCUGCGUCACCAAGUAGGCGACCGAGGAAAUCUCUCGCUGAAUUGAUAAAAUUUAAUCUCUUGCAUGCGACCGUUUGGAGAAAUGUUUGGAUAAAAUGAGGAUGAGCUAAUGUUCCUAAAAUUAGAACCAAGGUUGCAUCUAUAAAAUUGAUUUCUACUCAUGUUGUGUUAUUGUGUAAGGUUGUUUAUAGCCUUUUCAGUUCAGCUAUUUUGUUCCUUUUGAAUACCUUUUAAUACGCAAUGUGUUAUCACCCCUUAUCUGAUUAGGUUACAUUGA